rnacentral:rRNA from 1 species
CUGAUUUGAAGAGCUUGCUCAGAUAUGACGAUGGACAUUGCAAAGAGUGGCGAACGGGUGAGUAACACGUGGGAAACCUACCUCUUAGCAGGGGAUAACAUUUGGAAACAGAUGCUAAUACCGUAUAACAAUGACAACCGCAUGGUUGUUAUUUAAAAGAUGGUUCUGCUAUCACUAAGAGAUGGUCCCGCGGUGCAUUAGCUAGUUGGUAAGGUAAUGGCUUACCAAGGCGAUGAUGCAUAGCCGAGUUGAGAGACUGAUCGGCCACAAUGGGACUGAGACACGGCCCAUACUCCUACGGGAGGCAGCAGUAGGGAAUCUUCCACAAUGGGCGAAAGCCUGAUGGAGCAACGCCGCGUGUGUGAUGAAGGGUUUCGGCUCGUAAAACACUGUUGUAAGAGAAGAAUGACAUUGAGAGUAACUGUUCAAUGUGUGACGGUAUCUUACCAGAAAGGAACGGCUAAAUACGUGCCAGCAGCCGCGGUAAUACGUAUGUUCCAAGCGUUAUCCGGAUUUAUUGGGCGUAAAGCGAGCGCAGACGGUUAUUUAAGUCUGAAGUGAAAGCCCUCAGCUCAACUGAGGAAUUGCUUUGGAAACUGGAUGACUUGAGUGCAGUAGAGGAAAGUGGAACUCCAUGUGUAGCGGUGAAAUGCGUAGAUAUAUGGAAGAACACCAGUGGCGAAGGCGGCUUUCUGGACUGUAACUGACGUUGAGGCUCGAAAGUGUGGGUAGCAAACAGGAUUAGAUACCCUGGUAGUCCACACCGUAAACGAUGAGUGCUAGGUGUUUGAGGGUUUCCGCCCUUAAGUGCCGCAGCUAACGCAUUAAGCACUCCGCCUGGGGAGUACGACCGCAAGGUUGAAACUCAAAGGAAUUGACGGGGACCCGCACAAGCGGUGGAGCAUGUGGUUUAAUUCGAAGCAACGCGAAGAACCUUACCAGGUCUUGACAUCCCUUGACAACUCCAGAGAUGGAGCGUUCCCUUCGGGGACAAGGUGACAGGUGGUGCAUGGUUGUCGUCAGCUCGUGUCGUGAGAUGUUGGGUUAAGUCCCGCAACGAGCGCAACCCUUAUUACUAGUUGCCAGCAUUCAGUUGGGCACUCUAGUGAGACUGCCGGUGACAAACCGGAGGAAGGUGGGGAUGACGUCAAAUCAUCAUGCCCCUUAUGACCUGGGCUACACACGUGCUACAAUGGCGUAUACAACGAGUUGCCAACCCGCGAGGGUGAGCUAAUCUCUUAAAGUACGUCUCAGUUCGGAUUGUAGGCUGCAACUCGCCUACAUGAAGUCGGAAUCGCUAGUAAUCGCGGAUCAGCACGCCGCGGUGAAUACGUUCCCGGGUCUUGUACACACCGCCCGUCACACCAUGAGAGUUUGUAACACCCAAAGCCGGUGGGGUAAC